rnacentral:rRNA from 1 species
UACGUAGGGGGCAAGCGUUGUUCGGAAUUACUGGGCGUAAAGCGUGCGUAGGCGGUUUGUUAAGUCCGUUGUGAAAGCCCUGGGCUCAACCUGGGAAUUGCAGUGGAUACUGGCGAGCUAGAGUGCGGUAGAGGAUGGUGGAAUUCCCGGUGUAGCGGUGAAAUUCGUAGAUAUGGGGAGGAACACCGGUGGCGAAGGCGGCCAUCUGGACGGAUACUGACGCUGAGACGCGAAAGCGUGGGGAGCAAACAGG